GUGCUUAGUCUUAAGACAUCAAUUAAAAAGGAAAACAGGGAGUAUUUAUCAGUAACACAUUUAACAAGAAAAAUAAUUACAGCAGCAGCAGAACUAGAAGAUCAUAAAAUUCCAAUAAUCAUGAAAACUAAACAUAUUCUUGUUAUAACAUCAAACAGACACACCUAAGCAUCUCCUUUAUUAGACAAACGACUCUAUCAAGGCACAAAAUACAAACUACGACGACGGAAGGUAUCUCCGGAAAGAAGACGAAGAUGACCGAACUGAAUACCGGCGGACCACGAGUUGUACGAAUAUCUGUUAUCGACGCCGACGCCACUUUCUCUCCCAGCGACGAAGAUGAGACACUCUUUAAGGGUUAGAAAGUAAAGAACAAAUCCUAGAUUUUUAACGCGACAAACAAAAAUUACAAACCCAAUAAAGUUAUGGAGCUUUACCUUUCGAUCCGUUUGCUAUGGAGACCUUCUGUUGGCCUUUACCUUAGCUCUUCCGUCUGCUACCGAUAUUGUACGAGGGAGGGAGGGAAAAGUUGGAGAGAGAAAAUGAAAAUUUUCCUAUCUGAUUUUUGCUCUG
rnacentral:lncRNA from 1 species